AGGCAAUAGAUACCUGGGUAGUCCCAGCAGUAAACGGUGCGCGUUUGGUGUGAGCAGAUUCGACUCUGUUCGCGCCGGAGCUAACGCGUUAAACGCGCCGCCUGGGAAGUACGAUCGCAAGAUUAAAACUCAAAGAAAUUGACGGGGGCCCGCACAAGCGGUGGAGUAUGUGGCUUAAUUCGAUGCAACGCGAAGAACCUUACCUGGGUUUGACAUGCAUCUCUAAGGAGGUGAAAGCUUCCGAGGGUAGCAAUACCCGAUUUGCACAGGUGCUGCAUGGCUGUCGUCAGCUCGUGUCGUGAGAUGUUGGGUUAAGUCCCGCAACGAGCGCAACCCUUGUAUGCUGUUGCUAUGCUUACGCAUAGCUCUCUGCGUAGACUGCCCCGUGAAACGGGGAGGAAGGUGGGAUGACGUCAAGUCAGCAUGGCCCUUACACCCAGGGCUGCACACGUACUACAAUGCUCAGUACAAUUAGAACCUG
rnacentral:rRNA from 1 species